CCGCGGGAUUAGAGUUUGAUCCUGGCUCAGGACGAACGCUGGCGGCGUGCUUAACACAUGCAAGUCGAGCGGUGACCCUCCUUCGGGAGGUGAUCAGCGGCGAACGGGUGAGUAACACGUGGGCAACCUGCCCCUCACACUGGGAUAACCUCGGGAAACCGGGGCUAAUACCGGAUACGACCUCGAGCGGCAUCUCUUGAGGUGGAAAGCUCCGACGGUGAGGGAUGGGCCCGCGGCCUAUCAGCUUGUUGGUGGGGUAAUGGCCUACCAAGGCGACGACGGGUAGCCGGCCUGAGAGGGCGACCGGCCACACUGGGACUGAGCCACGGCCCAGACUCCUACGGGAGGCAGCAGUGGGGAAUAUUGCGCAAUGGGCGAAAGCCUGACGCAGCGACGCCGCGUGAGGGAUGAAGGCCUUCGGGUUGUAAACCUCUUUCAGCAGGGACGAAGCGAAAGUGACGGUACCUGCAGAAGAAGCACCGGCUAACUACGUGCCAGCAGCCGCGGUAAUACGUAGGGUGCAAGCGUUGUCCGGAUUUAUUGGGCGUAAAGAGCUCGUAGGCGGUUUGUCGCGUCGGAUGUGAAAACCCAGGGCUCAACCCUGGGCCUGCAUUCGAUACGGGCAGACUAGAGUAUGGCAGGGGAGACUGGAAUUCCUGGUGUAGCGGUGAAAUGCGCAGAUAUCAGGAGGAACACCGGUGGCGAAGGCGGGUCUCUGGGCCAAAACUGACGCUGAGGAGCGAAAGCGUGGGGAGCGAACAGGAUUAGAUACCCUGGUAGUCCACGCCGUANACGUUGGGCGCUAGGUGUAGGGGACCUUCCACGUCCUCUGUGCCGCAGCUAACGCAUUAAGCGCCCCGCCUGGGGAGUACGGCCGCAAGGCUAAAACUCAAAGGAAUUGACGGGGGCCCGCACA
rnacentral:rRNA from 1 species